AUUGCAGACACAAGGUCCUUAGCACCAAUUAUUCUCUAUAUCUGUUUAUUCCUAUGCACCAGCUACUUACAAAUAUGGUUUAAGCCAAAGAGGAACAUUGAAGGAUGCUAUAAAAAAAGUAGCUGAAGGAACUAUAUUUCCGCAGGCACAUUAUUACUUAUCAUUUGCACUGCAGCACUAUGUAACAUCCCUAAAUCCCCCAUUGUGCAAGGUGUUAGAUACUAACACAGAACAAGAAGAUGGUUCCUUCCCCUGAAGAAUUAAAACCUGGAAAUAUUUUGGGAUGGAGCUUUACCUCACAAUCCAGCCUGACAUGUUCCCAGGUGCUGUUCUGGCACGAGAAAGCUGUAAAAUCAGUCAUGCAACUUAGCUCUGGGAAGGAGGUGGGACCAGGAAGAGGAGUGUAAAAUUUCACAAUGUUCACUUUUCCUUGUGUCUUCACUGGGUUGAAAUGGAUGGAAAAAAGCCAAUAGCCAGCAGAAAGUGGAGGCUGGGGGAAUACAGUACUGAACCGAUAUCCUGGAGAUUUAUGACCUUCCUGGGACACUGUGAAGAAUAAGAGAGAUUGACAGGAAAAUGUCUUCAGAGCAAACGCACGCCAGAUGGAAUGAAAACGGUUUAUUGGAGUAUGGAGGUGCUGCUGAACUGAAUAGAGGGCGGGUUUAAGGGAAAAUGCCUGACUGCAUUGCACUUUUACAAGGCCCAAAACUCUUGAGCCAACUACAGUGAAAUGGUGAACAAAAACCAAUGUAAUACAGCAGGAUGUUCCUUCACAGUAUUUUAGAAAAAUAAAAAAAAAGAAAUAAAGAAAAAGAAAAAAACUUUGUGCAUGUGAA